AAAUUGAAGAGUUUGAUCAUGGCUCAGAUUGAACGCUGGCGGCAGGCCUAACACAUGCAAGUCGAACGGUAACAGGAAGCAGCUUGCUGCUUCGCUGACGAGUGGCGGACGGGUGAGUAAUGUCUGGGAAACUGCCUGAUGGAGGGGGAUAACUACUGGAAACGGUAGCUAAUACCGCAUAAUGUCGCAAGACCAAAGAGGGGGACCUUCGGGCCUCUUGCCAUCGGAUGUGCCCAGAUGGGAUUAGCUUGUUGGUGGGGUAACGGCUCACCAAGGCGACGAUCCCUAGCUGGUCUGAGAGGAUGACCAGCCACACUGGAACUGAGACACGGUCCAGACUCCUACGGGAGGCAGCAGUGGGGAAUAUUGCACAAUGGGCGCAAGCCUGAUGCAGCCAUGCCGCGUGUAUGAAGAAGGCCUUCGGGUUGUAAAGUACUUUCAGCGGGGAGGAAGGGAGUAAAGUUAAUACCUUUGCUCAUUGACGUUACCCGCAGAAGAAGCACCGGCUAACUCCGUGCCAGCAGCCGCGGUAAUACGGAGGGUGCAAGCGUUAAUCGGAAUUACUGGGCGUAAAGCGCACGCAGGCGGUUUGUUAAGUCAGAUGUGAAAUCCCCGGGCUCAACCUGGGAACUGCAUCUGAUACUGGCAAGCUUGAGUCUCGUAGAGGGGGGUAGAAUUCCAGGUGUAGCGGUGAAAUGCGUAGAGAUCUGGAGGAAUACCGGUGGCGAAGGCGGCCCCCUGGACGAAGACUGACGCUCAGGUGCGAAAGCGUGGGGAGCAAACAGGAUUAGAUACCCUGGUAGUCCACGCCGUAAACGAUGUCGACUUGGAGGUUGUGCCCUUGAGGCGUGGCUUCCGGAGCUAACGCGUUAAGUCGACCGCCUGGGAGUACGGCCGCAAGGUUAAAACUCAAAUGAAUUGACGGGGGCCCGCACAAGCGGUGGAGCAUGUGGUUUAAUUCGAUGCAACGCGAAGAACCUUACCUGGUCUUGACAUCCACAGAACUUUCCAGAGAUGGAUUGGUGCCUUCGGGAACUGUGAGACAGGUGCUGCAUGGCUGUCGUCAGCUCGUGUUGUGAAAUGUUGGGUUAAGUCCCGCAACGAGCGCAACCCUUAUCCUUUGUUGCCAGCGGUCCGGCCGGGAACUCAAAGGAGACUGCCAGUGAUAAACUGGAGGAAGGUGGGGAUGACGUCAAGUCAUCAUGGCCCUUACGACCAGGGCUACACACGUGCUACAAUGGCGCAUACAAAGAGAAGCGACCUCGCGAGAGCAAGCGGACCUCAUAAAGUGCGUCGUAGUCCGGAUUGGAGUCUGCAACUCGACUCCAUGAAGUCGGAAUCGCUAGUAAUCGUGGAUCAGAAUGCCACGGUGAAUACGUUCCCGGGCCUUGUACACACCGCCCGUCACACCAUGGGAGUGGGUUGCAAAAGAAGUAGGUAGCUUAACCUUCGGGAGGGCGCUUACCACUUUGUGAUUCAUGACUGGGGUGAAGUCGUAACAAGGUAACCGUAGGGGAACCUGCGGUUGGAUCACCUCCUUACCUUAAAGAAGC
rnacentral:rRNA from 1 species